rnacentral:lncRNA from 1 species
CUAACUAUGUUUUUCUGAACCAUAGUGAAAGUAUGUUUGGUUUUGAAAAGUAGAAGUGGUUGUUUGUGUACCGACCAAUGACCACAAUGUUGUUACUUAUCUUUUUUGGUUUGGUCUCUCGGUUUAUUUAUAGUCGAGGAGAAAGACCAGAGAGCCCAAGGAGGAAACCGUCACACUCGGACCUGCUGUUCGUGACGGAGAGCAAGUGUUCGGUGUUGUUCACAUCUUUGCUUCUUUCAAUGACACUUUCAUUGUAAGCAUUCGCCUUCACUGUCGUGUAGAAUUUUUUUUAUGCGUGUUGAUGUUAAUUUUUAUUGCAGCACGUUACUGAUCUGUCGGGAAGAGAAACUCUCGUCCGUAUCACCGGUAUGUUCUCUUGUUCCUGUUUAUGUUUUUGAAUAAAAUCUAUAUUGUUAACACAAAAUCAAAUUUGAUUAUUAGUAUGAUUAUGCGAGUUGUAUCCUCAAAAUAUUUAUUUUAUUUGCGUAGGUGGGAUGAAGGUGAAGGCUGACCGUGAUGAGUCGUCUCCUUAUGCUGCUAUGCUUGCUGCUCAAGAUGUUGCUCAAAGAUGCAAGGUCAGAGAACUGUUCACCAUUCAUUGCGUUUCUGGAUAACAUGUUCAUCCUAAUAAUCUCUAAUGUUGUUAUAUGUGACAGGAGCUUGGCAUCACAGCCAUGCACGUGAAGCUCCGUGCCACUGGAGGAAACAAAACAAAGACUCCAGGACCUGGUGCUCAGUCAAUUUUUUUUCUGCCUAGACCGUCUAAAUGACCGUCUAAUCUUUUUUUUUUAAAUUUAUUUGGUCUAAAAUUUUAUAAAUAUCAUUUAUAUUCAUAAUUUUGAUGAAAAUUACACUAUAUUAAGUUUAUUUAUUUUAUUUGUGUGUUUUAUACUAUCUUAAAUAUGUUAUACAUUAAACAAUCUAAAAAUUUCGCUCCACAUAAUUUCCGAUUAAUUUCGAUUUUCUCUUUAGGGACAGGGCACUAAUCCAUCAUAAUGGAAACGACGACGUAUUCACGAGUCAAAGCGCUGAGGGUAAUUACGUCAAUUGCCAGGAGUGUUCCAAUGUAACCCUAAUAUAUAAAGUGUAGCUCUGAGUGUGUCCUUCCUUCCGCACCCAAAAACCCUAGCAGCAUUUCGUCUUUUGUCUCAUCCAUUGGUGAACAUGGUAAGCUCCUUUCUCUCCAGCUCAUAUCUGUUCCUGAGUAGUUUGUUUUCGUUAGUCUGUUAGGGAAUCGAACUCAGAUAGGUUUGUUUCCCUGCUAGAUUCUGAUCUUUAUAGAGCUCUAAGUGUUCUCACCGUCCGUGUUGUGUUCUAACUAUGUUUUUCUGAACCAUAGUGAAAGUAUGUUUGGUUUUGAAAAGUAGAAGUGGUUGUUUGUGUACCGACCAAUGACCACAAUGUUGUUACUUAUCUUUUUUGGUUUGGUCUCUCGGUUUAUUUAUAGUCGAGGAGAAAGACCAGAGAGCCCAAGGAGGAAACCGUCACACUCGGACCUGCUGUUCGUGACGGAGAGCAAGUGUUCGGUGUUGUUCACAUCUUUGCUUCUUUCAAUGACACUUUCAUUGUAAGCAUUCGCCUUCACUGUCGUGUAGAAUUUUUUUUAUGCGUGUUGAUGUUAAUUUUUAUU